rnacentral:misc_RNA from 1 species
AUAACCUGUAGAACAACACCAAGGCGGAGACAUCUGUCGGCCAUGAAGUGGGACACCGCCUAUUAUCUUCCAUUAUGGGCUCUAGGCUGAGAGAGAACCCAAAACGGCUCCUGGAGUGUUGGUGCGAGGUGGUGGGUCCCAAGGGAAGAGAGCGACCGGCAUGGAUCAUCCAGAAGUUCCCCAACAGCUACGACAUCGAAGAGGUCCUUAAAAGUGUUCCCCAGUUUGCCUUCCCGUGUUCGUUUGAAAGCUCAAAUGUCCAACACUUUUCUUUUGUACUGACAAGCCUGGACUCAAAAUGGACGUAUGGGUUCUGCCGUCACGCUCCAGGGGCAGAAACUGCUCUUGUGUUGCUCUCACAUCUACCAUGGCACGAGACAUUUUACAAACUUCUCAACCACCUGUCGGAGAUGAUGAGCUCCGACAGGACGAGCGACAUGGCCUCGUGUCUCCAGAACAUCUACAAGUCGCCGGUUCCUCAUCCUGGCUCGGAGAUUACCGUACCUUACGGGGACAGCAAGUUCUUUGUAGCUCAGUGUCCAAACCAUCUAAAACUUCCAACCAUCCCAGAAAAUCGGAACCUCUCGGAGUACUACAACGCCGUGGAUACAAACAACAUGAUAAUUAUAUUCGCAUCGAUGCUGUACGAAAGACGGAUCAUCAUGAUGUCUAAACGUCUCUCUAGGCUGUCUGCGUGUGUCCAGGCAGCCAACUCUGUCAUCUACCCCAUGCAGUGGCAGCACAUCUUUAUACCCGUGUUGCCGCAGCACCUCCUCGAUUACCUCCUGGCCCCCAUGCCUUUCUUAAUAGGGGUCAACACCUUACUCUUGGCGAAAGUACAAAUGGAUGACGUAGGGGAAGCUGUGAUAUUAGACGCUGACAACAAUACUGUCAAGACGCCCUUUAAUGAUGUAGACACCUUGCCUGAUGAGGUGGUUAUUAAUCUCAAAAGAAAUCUGAAGUCGUCAAACAACAUGCUCGGCGACAGUGUUGCUCGUGCGUUCCUGCGCGCGCUCGUCCAGCUCAUAGGCAACUACAAAGAAGCAUUACAGUUUAGAGAAGAAGAUUCGAGAAUAACUUUUAAUAGGGAGAAGUUUGUUGCAAUCCGUCCUCCAAAUUUCCAGCCAUUUGUCGAGAAAAUGUUGGAACUUCAGAUUUUUCAACAGUUUAUUGAAGAAAGAUUAGAACGCCUUAACUCCGGUAAGCAAACUUCGGAUGAGUUUGAACUAGAAGUAAGUGUGUAUUGUGAAAAGUCGUCGUCCAAGGUGAAGCAGCAGUACAAACAGUUUGUCACUAAUGUGCGCAAAGAGGGCGGUGCUAUAGUGAAGACCAUGAAGAACAAGAGCCCGUUUAGACACCUGAAAAGUAACAGUAACACCGUAACUAAAGGUAGCAAACAAGUGAAAGAGAAGAGCAGACAGACGUACAAGGACCUGAGAGGGAAGAUAAAGGACUUCCAGCAGCCUAGGGUGGAGGAUGGUACACUGCCACCAACCUGGAUCAAUGGUGAGUCCCCACAAAAGCCUCGGUCAGCGCCCUCAUCUCCCGUCCUCGGUGUGAAGCGGCGGCCACGGACGGUCGGUGGCAACAUGGCCGGAUACUCAGCUAAAGCUACGUACAAGAGAGCUUCUCAGAUUAAUAUUAGAGAAGACUGCAUUUUACCCGGGGCCCCUAAGUAUGAGCUAAUUGACACUGACAGUGGGUUGAUGUCUCCGGGCUCCACAGACAGCCUCAGCACGCCCUCCCCUCAGAGCAUCGACCUCAUAGGUGAGAUGGAGGAGAUUAUCCGUGCCAAGCUUGGUCAGGAGAGUGAGGUGGAUGGGGAACCAGGUCACAGCAGCACGGGAGGUAGCAACAGUGCCACGAGCAGCGUACACAACAGCCCUGGCUCAGAGUCUGCCUCGGGGUCAACCUCUACUGUCACCAUGCUGCAGUCUCUCAAAGACCAUCCUCCAUCACUCAUGGCUUCAAAAAGGCUAAGAAAGUCACUCACUAUCCCAUCUUAUUUGGCCUUUAAUAACGAACCUGCAGCCUGGAUGUUCAAAGGCAAUGUGUACCGUGGGCAUCUGAGUGCCAGCCUCACCUCUCUCCCUCUCAUUGACCUCUCCUUAAACAUUGAACUUCCUCCUCCCAUUAUGACAUCUUUUGGCUACCGUUUCCCUGUCACCUUUGAGGAUGACAAUGGUGGUGGUGGUGGUGGUGAAGAUGAGGAUGUUGUAGGCAGCCCCUCCUCUUCGCACUUUCGCUCACCUAAGCUUCUGCACAAUGAAUCUGAUUCCGUCGACACUGUUUAUGGGGACGAUGGUUCCUCUGUGUUAGAUGAAAAUAUCUGGGGACAAACCCACCUCUCGCCACAUUCUCCUUCUCCUCGUCCUUCUGUCUCCAACGUCUCUGCUGUAUGUACGAGCCAGUCGACGUCCCCCCGAGGCCGUGGCAAAUCAGGACGGGUCAUCUCAGGACCUCAUCUUCCUGGAGUCUCCACAGGAUGAAAUCUUCGAUCCACUGUAUGCCAAGGACCUCCCCCAAAAGACUCAUCCCGGAGGAAGACCUGCCCAACCGCCACCACCUGUCCCUACAAGCAAAUCAACAUCCAGUCUACCAGGAGCAUCAACAGCUGUUGAAAAAGGGGUUGGUGUUGGCAGUUUAAGUACCUCCCAGCUUCCUGGUACCACUGCACCUCACCCGGCUCUCUCACGUUCCACAGCCAUCAACACUACUGGUCUACCUAAUGCCACGCC